rnacentral:tRNA from 1 species
GCGGGUGUGGCGGAAUUGGCAGACGCGCUAGAUUUAGGUUCUAGUGGGAGACCAUGCAGGUUCAAGUCCUGUCACCCGCA